CGGGGGCCUUUUAUGCCGCCGCUGCCUGUGCAUGAUGUACCGUCCCGGUUGCGGCCGCUUGAACAUGAUUUCCUCCAGCCGGCCCAAAGACAGCAGUAGUUCAGGCUCCCGAUGUUCCCGGUCCGGUGCUUCCACCACCCCCACCACCGGGUCAGCUCGAGGCCGUAGCCCGCGCCGCUCCCGUUCUCCAUCUCCUCGGGGCCGCCGCCACCGCUCGCCAUCCAGCGGUCGCUCUUCUCGUCGCUCACCAUCCCCUCGUCGCAGUAGUAGGAGACAUUCCCCAGGUCAAUGUUCACGUUCCCCAGGUCGGCGCUCACGUUCCCCAGGUCGACACUCACGUUCCCCAGGUCGACACGCACGUUCUCCAGGUCAACACUCACGUUCUCCAGGUCGGCGUUCUAGAAGUCAACACUCUGAAUCUUCAGUGGAACAGAAUUUGCGGAUCACUGUUGGCAAUGAUCGUUAUGGUAUUGAUACACCUGAAAGAAAGAGGUUAUGUGAUAGGCUGGGCUCACCGGUUGACAGCCUGAGUGAUGUGGAUAGGGAUGAUUUGGCUGAUGGACCAAUAUUUAGCAGAAGCCUUUUACAUCGUCGGAGCCUUGAGAGAUAUCCUUCUCGUGAGGAAAAUCAGGCUAGUCCUUUCAGUAGGAGACAUGAUGAGGACUAUCACAAUAGGGAUGUUUUCCUCCAUCAAUCAGACUAUAGAAUGAACUAUGAGGAUAAACCAAGAGAAACUGAUAGGGAAGGUGAACUUAGAAAAUCCUUAUAUGCAUUGGACGAUAGAGGGCGGGAGCCAAAAAGACCUCGAUAUGACAGAGAUGACAGAUUACUUGAUAUGAACAUGGAACCACAGGGUUUCUUGUCAGGAACACGAAAGUACCGUAAACGAAGUUUUAGUAGAAGUCCAAGUCCAACAUAUCUCAAUGAAGAUUUUCGCGAACUUGAAAGUGCUAGAAGGAAAAGAAAAGAAGAAGAACUGAGCAGAAAUCUGAGUCAUGAACUAUCUGGCAAUAGUUACGUAAUGACUGGUUCAACUAAUCCAACGAAAUCUUCAGAACCUCAGUACCUUUAUAGACCUGAUGAGGCACCAGCAAUGCCCAAAAAAUCCAUCUUGAAGAAACGUGUGGAUGAUCAUUCUGUGCAGCCGGAAGUCUUUUCUUGCAGUUCUUCCUCUAUUAAAGAGCCCCCACUUCUUUCAAAUCCUUCUUCUUUGCCCCAGCGUAGUAGUGUUGCUCCUUUUUCAUUGGAAGUAGAGAAUUUCCUCAAACAAUUCAACAAAAGUGCAGUUGCAGAGUCUACCAGUAAGGAAACGCAAGGCACUGAGCGUGACUGGAGACCAUUUCCUGGUCUACAUCAAAAUAUACUUCCUUCCGAACAAAACUCUGAAAAUUUUUUAAAACAGAAAGAGCCUCAUGAGUCAACAUCAGAAUGUGUUGACCAGCCUGGUGAUUUCCUGCUUCCUCAUGAAAGAGCCAGCCAGGAUGGAAGUGGCUUUUCACGCAUUCUGGGCAUUUUGGGGGUCAUGGCAGACUCUAAUAAUACGGAAGAAAAGAGAAGAAACAGUUUUCCUGAUGAUCUUGAGGAUGAAGAGAAAUUUCUUUAUGGUGAUGAUGAUGAUGAUGAUGAUGAUUGUAAUAUUAGCUCUCCCUCUACUCAAAAAUUAACACUGAGUGAUGGGAAGGAAUCUGUAAGCCAAAAAGUAGGUUCUCCACCUCCUUCAUCUGUAAAACCAGAAACAUUAGAUGAAUCCAGACCAGAGUAUGAGAAGAUUCAUAAUUUGCUUAAAACGAUUGGUCUUGACAUUGGGGUGGCAGAAAUAGGUAAACUUGCUGCUCGUACUCAGGAACGUCUUCAUGGAAAAAAGUCAUCUCGUUCACCUGAUCAUUAUUCAGUAGAUUCUUCCAAGCCAGAAAUGUGGGAGAGGCACCGCAGUCACAGUGAAACUUAUUCUCCAGAAUCAAACCAGAAGCACACACUCUCACCUACUGCUUCUUAUCCAUUAUCUAAAGUUAUACCCUCUGUUACAAAAUCUGAGCACAACACAAACAAAAUGUUAGGACAAGAUCAUCCUGUUGACCCAGUUGAGCAAUCUGUUCCUCCGAUAUCUCUAAUUCCAUCAGCUCCACCAUCUCUUCCUAAUUUGUCACCUAUACCCACCUCUGUUUCCCAGUAUAGACUUUCACGCUUUUCACCUUUUCCUACACCACAAUUACCACAAAACUAUCCUCCUCCCACAAUGGCACCUCCUGGCUAUGAUGCAUAUGGACACUACAUGGCUUAUGCAGCUUCUGGCUGGCCCAUGUAUGCUCAGCAGACUGAUCCUGGGCUUACAGAUAUGCAUGGGCUUGUCACACUAACGGUGCCACCAAAUCCAACACGACCCAAUCUUAGAGUUAUUGAGACAGUUUCCACAGCAAAAGGGACUCCUGAUAUCAAAAGAGAUGACUCUGUGCUUGUGCAAAUCCCCACAGUAGCUUCUUAUUCAAAAGUACAUCCUCAGUUCUCUCAACCUUCACUAAGAGGUUCCAAGGAAAGAAUAUCUGAUGAAAAAAACCGAGCUUCUAGGAAACAAAAGGUAAUAGAGGAAAUUGAGAAGUUGAAAGCUGAACAAGAAGCACGGCAAAAAAAACUACAUUAUCUCAGAGCUGAGUUAAACAGACUUUCGAAACAACAAGGGGAAUUGCUGCGGAAGAAACGGAGGGAGAAGGAUGGACACAAAGACCCCUUGCUAAUAGAAGUCAACCGACUGCAAGAUAACAUUGUGAAGGAAAUAACUCAGCUGAAGAUGAAUGCUGAUGCUGCAGAGAAGAAACAGUCUGAACUUGACAAGGUAGCCCAGAUCCUGGGGAUUAAUAUUUUUGAGAAAUCCCGGAAACUGUCUUCAGAAAGUAAAGACUCUUCAGAAAAUGCAAGAAUUCAGGAGAAAACUUCUGAUCUAGUCAAGGAAUCAAAAACUAAUAAUGACAGAUUCAGGGGAAAGAGUCCUAAGCCUAUGGAAUCUUCUUCACAGCCAUUGCAAAGGACCAGUAUUUAUGACUACUAUGAUACAGGGAACCAUUGGUGUAAAGAUUGCAAUACUACCUGUGGAACUAUGUUUGAUUUCUUUACACAUAUGCAUAAUAAGAAACAUAGACAGACCCUGGAUCCAUAUAACAGACCUUGGGCAGCAAAGACUCAAAUUGAAACAAAGCAGGAAGUCACAAAACGAAUUGACAAAAUACCCGUUCCAGCCAAAGGUUCUGAAUUUCUUAUCCCAGUCACUGGAUAUUACUGCCAACUCUGCAGUGAAUUCUUUGGAGACCAGAUAUCAGCAGAACAACAUGUGAAAAGUCAUCUACAUAAUGAGAAAUAUAAGAAACAUGUGGAUGAGAAUCCUCUCUAUGAAGAAAGGCGAAAUCUGGAUCAUCAGGCAGGAUUAUCUGUGAUUCAGGAAACUGAACGCAGGCUGAGACGGAAACUGUGUGAAAAACAAAAAGAGGAAAAAGAUGAGAAGACAACAAAAAUAGCGAAGAAAGAAGAAACAAAGAAUAUUAAAGAACUAGGAGAUGGGAAUAAUGAAUAUGAAAUUAGUAAAAAGAAAGAAAUCCCUAAUGGUGAAAAAUGUGGGAUUAAACUUAAAUUGAAAAAAGAUGACAAAGAAAUAGAAAAGAAGGAAGACAGAAAAGAGGAAUCUGAAAAGGAGUCAAAACUAACAACUUUUGGAAAAUUCAGUUGGAGAAAGAGUGAGAGAGAUGAAAAAAAUCAGGGGAAAGAUGUAGCUGUUUCUAAAGAAGAGAGCCCUGAGGAAAGUAAAGAUAAAGAAAGUAAGUCCCAAAGCGGAAAACAAAAUUCAAAGCCUAUUGCAAUUAAGUUAUCUGGAAAAACGGUUAUUCCACAUACAAGCCCCUGGACACCAGUUGUUUCAACUUCAUCGCAAGCCAAAAUCCGCCCCAAUUUACCAAUCCCAGUGAUGGUUCUAAGGAAGACUGCAGUUACAACAGUAAGCAAGCCAGCACCCCUAAAUACUUUUUUGUCUAUAAAAUCUUCUGGUACCACUGCCAAACCUUUGCCGGUGGUCAAAGAGGGAAAUCCAGACAUUGUUUUGCCACCAGAUAUUAUAUCAAAAGCAUUUGGGGGAGAAGUAGUAGUUUUAAAGGGACCACAGGAGGAUAUAAAGGUACCUGAAGAAGCAGAGGAAGGGGAUCAUGAAAGUGAGACAAAGGCCAUGGAACAAGCAAAUGUAACGAAGGCCCAGGAGCACGCAGAGGUAGUGGCAAAAGCUCAGGCCAAGGCACGGGAGCUUGCAGCAAUGGUGAAAAAACAAGAUGUCUCACAAAUGACAAACGCAAAUGAACAGUCUCUGACUUUUGAGAGGCCCCAUAGGCGCCCUCCUCUACUGCCGCUACCUCCAGGACCACCACUGUCACUAUCUGUACCACAGCCACCACCCAUAGUAUUUGCCCCUCCACCCCCUCUGCCACCAAAACAACUGGUUAUUCUGGCAGAUGAUAUGGCACCCGGUGUAUCUGAGGAUGAUAAGAACAUAUUGGAGAUGCCCAUGUGUCCUCGCCCCUUGCCACCUCCAUCUGUUUUUGGAGAGCAUGUUAAAACAUUAAAGAAAAAGAACUCUUCUCUGGCUGCCGGUAAUGCUAAAGAUCUGUAUGACAUUUUUUACAAUAGUAGUGGGAUGAAUCCAGCUGAGAGCAAGCUAGUGAAUUCUGCAGUUUCAGAUAAAGGAAAAUGGAAUCCUACUGAGAAGGAGAAAAAUGCAAACCUACAGGUAAAUUCCCAGUCAAGUUGUAACCCUUUUUCAGAGGAAUCCCUUUGCAGUGUAUACACUUCCUCAGCUAGGAACCUAGAAACAGAGGAAGUAAAAGAUGAGAAAAUGGUGACAACCGAUGAAGAAAUUAUUGAAAUCAAAGCCAGUGUCGAGAGGGACUUAGAUAAAGUCUCCUUUUCAGAUAUACAGUCUACAUUGUCAGAAGCAGAUGAUUUAGCAAGUAGUACCUCUUAUCCAUUCCAUAAUGAGGAAGAAAUGGGAAUUCCUGUUCCAUCUGAAUUUAACAAGAAAUUAUCCGAACCUGAGAAAACUGAGUUAGCUGUGCAGAUAGAAAAAAUGAGCCCUCUUCCUUUGGAAGGCUUUAAUGAGCCAUCUGUUAGCCUUGAGACAACAGAACAUGACAUUUCUGAUGAUCGAUCCGUCACACAAUUCUCAGAAAUCUCUAACAAUCUUCUAGAAACUCUCUCUGAUUCUGCGCAAAAUGUCAGUUAUUCUAAAGAAGAAUCAACUGAUCUAAAACUAGACACUAAGGAAUGCAAUAGUGGUAAAAGUCCUCAGCCUUCAGAUUCAGAGCUAAACAAAGAUGAAUUAAACUCUUUCCUUACAAACAGUGAACAAGAGGAUUUGAAUGGUUCUCAGUUAAAGGGUGGUGAGGAUUUCAGUGUAGUUAAUAUUCUAAAAUCUGAAGAGAUUACAGAUGAGAACUUUGUUAAUGUAACAACAAUAAGCACCACAAUAGAGAAACAUGAACAAAUCAAUCAGUUCCCAUUAAGCUGUGAAACCAAGGAACUCCAAGUGGGAAAAACAGAAGCAUUGGAUAGUAUUUCUUCUACAAAUGAAAUUAAACCCAGUUAUGUGGAAUUUAUGUUUAUAAAACAUGAUACACAAAAAUCUUCUGUCUCUGAUUUGGAAUUAAGUGGCAAUGAAGAGAGAAGAACUGUAGAAACAGAAAGUGCUAAUUUUUCAACUAUACAGCCAGAAAUGGGCCAAGAAAUACUAGAUCCUCUUCCAACAGAAAUCAGUAUUGGGCAUCUUGGAGAGGUGACUCUUUCCUUCACAGAUCUGAAUACUGAAGUAUUGAAUACCUCAGCAGCUGAUAAUUUUGACUUAAACAAUACAUAUCCAGAACUUAGUUUUGAACAGUCUACUACUUUUUCUCUGGAUUUAGAAAAUGAAGGAGUCUCUCCAAAAUCUGAUGAAACAAAGACUAUAGAUUCUCCCAGACUGAAACCAAAUUUGGAAUUAGAAACCAUUGAUUUCACUCUGGGAAAUAUUUCAGUGGAACAUGAAGUGGUAGAUAUUCUGCCAACUGAAAUUUUAAACGAGGACAAUGCAGACAGUCCAAAGUUAGAAAUGGUUGCACCUAUUUGUUUAGAGUCUAGCAAAAUGAGUGAAUUGGACACUGACCCACCAGUGAUUGAAUCUGAAAUAAUUAAUUUUGUUGCAUUUACCCCUGAUGAUCAAGAGGAGAAAUUUUGCUCCAUGGUUUCAGAUGCAAUUAUUCCAUAUGUGGUGUCUUCUGCAUCAAAGAAUGACGUGGCAGAAGUAAGCAUGCCCCUUGUUCAAUUGCAGGAUAUGUCUUCUGUUUCCAUGCCCCAACCCCCCUAUAGUAGCAAAGCAGACACGCCUGAUAAACUGUUGUGGAGCUAUAGUGGGGAAAAUGUACAAAACCAAGCUGUGACAUGCAUGGAAUGCAUCCUUCCAAAGCUAAAGGAAUCUGUAGAAGUGGGGGGUUCAGGUGACAGUGAGUUGUAUAGUUUCAAGAAUCAAAUGCAGACAUCCAUAGAUAAACUAAAAAAGACAGAGGAAGAAAAGAAUGAUGAUAAAUGUGAAGUUAAAAAUAAGUUGGCUUCAGAAGUAACUGACAUAUCUGCAGAGCAACUGGUAAGUACAGACAAAAUUGUUACAAAUCUCUAAUUGUUACAAAUCUCUAAGUAGCAAUUGUUGACAUUUUGUAAAUAUUAUAUUAUAGCUUAAUAAGUUGAAAAUAUAGCUUGCAAUAGUCUUUCUCAAAAAAACCUAAAAUUCUGCCUAAAAUGUAAGCUGUAUUGUAUAUAUCUGAUUGUGUAAAAUAUUUGUUUUUCAGUCUUGGACUUCCAGCCAUUAAAAAUGGAUUUCUCAUCCGUAGUAUGUGUUUCAGCUAUGGUUUGGGUUUUUUUUUUAAUUAUUAUUUCUGUUAAACUGUGACUGUACUUUUUACAUUUUUCUUUGACUUUUUAUGGUUUCUGAUUUAUACAGCUUUUGUAAAUAACAUUCCAAGUGCAACACUGACAAGUGCAAGGACAUGUGUUCAGGACUUGAGAAAAAAAGAAGGCUCUUGCUGAACCAUUUAAGCAGAAAGUUUCUUUGAAACAAUUUGCAUGUUUCAUUGCACAAAAUGUAAAAUGCAUGAAAAGUGUUCUGCAUUUUUCAUCAUGCAGAAGAUUGUUCUGCAAUUUUUUACUUGUUAUUAUCUUGUUGAACUACACCUGUAAUCAAGACUGAUGCCAUAUUGUAUAAAAUCCUGUGUGGAUGCCAUCUCACUGAGCAAAGGAGAAAUAUCUAUCGACUCACUUUUGGAGAAAGAAAAUCUUUGCAGCUGCCUAACUCAGAAGAAAUGGAAGAUCUGAACUUUGCUCUCUGGAUUGGAUUCCCAUCAUAUAACCAGUCAUUACAUGCCUGAAUGAAUCCCUGAGCUACAAAAAUACUGUUUUGUGAAGGUUUUCAGUUAUACAACUUGUCAAGAAACGCAGUAAUGCUUGCAUGGAUUUAUCUAAAAGAUUUUAUCUGUAAAUCUAAAAUAAACCCAUGAUGAUCUGCGACAUGA